rnacentral:rRNA from 1 species
AGAAUCAACGCUGGCGGCGUGCCUAACACAUGCAAGUCGCACGAGAAAGUGGAGCAAUCCAUGAGUACAGUGGCGCACGGGUGAGUAACACGUGACUAAUCUACCUCCGAGUGGGGAAUAACCUGGGGAAACCCGGGCUAAUACCGCAUAACACUUACGAGUCAAAGCAGCAAUGCGCUUGGAGAGGAGGUCGCGGUCGAUUAGUUAGUUGGCGGGGUAAUGGCCCACCAAGACGAUGAUCGAUA